UCUGAAAAUCUCAUUACUUUUCUUUGCUUUUAACGGUUCAGUUUUAUGGAAAGGUGUUCUUCAAAACUUAUGCCUUUGCUCCUUUGCUUUCCUCUUAUGUAUUUCUUCUUCAUUUCCUCCUUAGUCUGGUUCCUUUCUCCAGUCGAUCUGUUGCUGUUUCUCAGCAUAUUCUGGGACCGUUAUUUCCAUGUAUAACUCUUCCUUCAUUUUUAACUAUUCUGUUGCCACUAUAUGCGCGAGAGAGUUUGUCGAUCUUGGUGUAAACUUGAACAUGACACUCCUAGAUCUGUUUAGUAUCUGCUUAAUAUCAUGAAUAUAUGCUCCAAUACAUGAUCGAUCUUGACUUUCUGACAAACAUUUCUUUAUUGUUGUGAGGGAAUCCCCUUCUAUGAUGAUCCUCGGCCAUUCUUGUUCUACUCCUAUUUGAACAGCUUUUCGACACGCAAUUGCUUUAGCAGCAAAAGCUGACGUUAUAUCGUGAUAAAUCUCUGAGCAAUAGCCCAAAGGCCACAGUAGAAGAGUCUGUUCUUGCACUUAUUAAGCUGACCAGAGGCCCAGGGCACAUUCUGAAGAUAUGAUCGGUUGUUUCAUUCUUUUCUCCACAUCGGGGACAGUCUGUGUUACUGAUUAGUUUUCGAUGUUUUAUAUUCACCUUCAUAGGCAGAUAGUUCUAGGCAAUUCUCCAUACUGUAAUCUUUAUUUUGGUCGAUAAAUUUAGUCGCCAUAAUUUUUUGUAAAAAUCCCUAAAGUUGGUUUGGAAAACAUAAGCUCUAGAAAAUUCAUCAAAAA